AAGAGAGGCCUGUGGAAGAAGCUA
rnacentral:siRNA from 1 species